GACGAACGCUGGCGGCGCGCCUAACACAUGCAAGUCGAACGGAGUCACGAGGAGCUUGCUUUUCUUGACUUAGUGGCGAACGGGUGAGUAACGCGUGAGUAACCUGCCCUGGAGUGGGGGACAACAGUUGGAAACGACUGCUAAUACCGCAUAAGCCCACGGAUCCGCAUGGAUCUGCGGGAAAAGGAUUUAUUCGCUUCAGGAUGGACUCGCGUCCAAUUAGCUAGUUGGUGAGGUAACGGCCCACCAAGGCGACGAUUGGUAGCCGGACUGAGAGGUUGAACGGCCACAUUGGGACUGAGACACGGCCCAGAAUCCUACGGGAGGCAGCAGUGGGGGAUAUUGCACAAUGGGGGAAACCCUGAUGCAGCGACGCCGCGUGGAGGAAGAAGGUGUUCGGAUUGUAAACUCCUGUCGUUAGGGACGAUAAUGACGGUACCUAACAAGAAAGCACCGGCUAACUACGUG
rnacentral:rRNA from 1 species